CCUCCGCUUUAACAUGGAGGUACCUGCUGCCUACAAAAGUAAGUGCUUCCAUGUUUCAGUGGUGG
rnacentral:pre_miRNA from 12 species